rnacentral:lncRNA from 1 species
UAUGUUAUGGGCCGGAAGGCGAUUAUGUUGUGUGAUGGACCGGAAGGUCGGCGUGGGUAGGACCGGAAGGUUUACCCAGCAGGGACGGAAGUCCCCUGAGACACAUGGACCGGAAGGUCAGGGCCUGGAAAGGCGUAUAUGUGGUUGGUAUUCUGGGGGUAUCUCACUAAGCUUUCGGGCUUACAGUUGUGGUUUUAUGUUUCAGGUUCUCAAGAGUCUGUGGCAAGGCAAAGGCGUGAUCGUACCGUUCCUCGCGUUGGUGUUUUAUGAUAUGAACCUGGGAAAUUACUCUGUUUAAUAAUGUAUUGAAAACCUUUUUGUAACAACGUUAAUAAAAUGGGUGAUUUUGAAAAGUUUUAAUUGUUUUGAAAUUUUGGAUGUUACAAAUUGGUAUCAGAGCCUUGGUUUGAGUGAAUUGGGGGAACAUUCGUGUGACUCCAGUCUCAAAUCGAGGAGGAUUUUAAAAAGAGAAAUUAAAAUGGUUUUCAAAUUUAGUAAAAGGAGGACGCGGAGGUACGAUCAGCCGGAGCCAGUAAGUAACCCCAAGAUACCAUACAUGAUAUUUGUUUAUUUGAGCUUGAUAGAACAGCAUGCUAGAGUUAGGCUAGGGAUCUUCAGGAAUUCAUGAUAAUGUUGCCUGAUAUGUGAUGCCUGUAGCCUAGGGUCCCUUAUGGGAUGUUCUCAGUGUUCCUCUAGUGGUGAGGGUUGAUAGUUGUUAUGCAUGUUCCCUAGGGUAUUGUGGUAGUACUUCAUACAAAUAUGGGUAGGUGUGGAAGGUAGUAUGGGCCCGUACUACUGAAAGCACAGGACCCAUACGCGUAUCAGGGAAACCAUGGUCUCUAGGGUAGGGUUGCGAGAGUUGGAUCCCAGGAUUUUGGGAAGUGUCUGAGAUUGGUAGGGUGUCUUCAGUAUGGAGAUUUCGAGGCAUGAUGAUAGUGGAUCCGGAUCAGGAUCGGGAGCUGGAGAGCGAGUUCCGGGUGGAUCGGUGCCGUCGGAGGUUAUCGAUCGGACGAGCACGAGCGAGCGGGAUGCGAGGAUUCGCGAGAUCCUGCGUGAUGAGGUUGCUGCAUUGUUGCGGGCUGAGUCGCCAGAAUUGUUUGGGUCGAUCAGGACCGCUAUGAUUGAGGUAGUUUGAUGAGCGAUAUGCGGCUUUCGCAGAGACGGCUGCCGCGGCGGUUACAGCGGCUGUAGCAACGGCAAAGAAAGGGGCUAGUCGGGGUUUUCAGUAUCGGGACUUCUAUUAUACGAAGCCUCCCACAUUCGAUGGAGUUCAGGACCCGAUUGUUGCUAUGAGAUGGUUAUCAGACGUGGAGGGGUGUUUCUCCACGAGUUUAUGCCCUGCUGAUCAGAGGGUGAGGUGUGCUCUGAACCUGUUGAGGCUAGGAGCGAAGGAUUGAUGGAGAUUGACUACGAGGUCAUUUUCCGAUGCGCAGAGGGCUGCGGUUUCAUGGGAUCAAUUCAGAGAGAUGUUCAGUACUCGCUAUGUUCCGCGGGAUGAAAAGGAGAGAUUGGCUCGGGAGUUCCUUGAGCUGAAGCAGGAUUUGGAGUCGGUGACUGAGAUCACCAGGAUGUUUAUUGAGAGGGCGAUGUUUUGCCCUGAGUUCGCUUCGGAGCAGGCUCAGAUGUCCCGAUAUCUGAGUAUGCUCAAGGGGGAUAUCAGACAGUUCGUGUCUGCGCAGAGGUGCGAGACCUUGUUGGUGUUGCAGGAGGCCGCCAUGCGGCGUGAGUUAGAGGUUGAGUUGCAGUUGCGUGAGCUGAGGCAGGCUCCGAUGCAGUCGCAGCCAGCGCCGAAACGGUCCAGUACCGUUGAUGUUAGAAUGGGGGAUCGGAGCGGCCACACUUGUGGGAAGUAUGGGAGGGGUCACACCGGAGUUGCUGGUCCGGUGGUGCAUGCCGCAAGUGCGGAAAAGAGGGGCACUAUGCGCGGGAUUGUCGGCAGUCAGUGCCGAUUCGGGAUUUGAGGAUUUGUCAUCAUUGUCGGCAGGUUGGACAUUUGAGGGUCAACUGUCCACAGCUUUCUGCAGGACCGGUGCAGGCUCUAGCACCGGCCACCUUGAGGAGUUCAGGAGGAGGACAGGAUGGAGCGGAGCCCCAAGGGCUCAGGGUCGUGCUUAUCGGCUUGCGGCAGAGGGAGACGGAGCAGUGCCGGAGGCAGCUGCGGGUAUGAUGCUUUCUUGAUGUCUUGAUUGUCUUGCGUUGAUUGUGGCGUAUUGUUUGUGCUGGUAUCUUGUGUGGAUUUCGAUGCGGUAUUCGUUGUUUCGCGGGUUUGGCAUGGUUAUGGAUUGGUGCUUCAGGUUUUCGCUUUGGCAUUCGUUGUUCCCUGAUGGUUUGGUAUGGUUAUAGUUUGGUGUUUUGGUGCCGGUAGCCUUGUGCGGUUUUCGAUGCGGUAUUCAUCCUUUUGCAGGUUGUGGGUUUGGUUAUGGGUUAUUGUUUGGAAAUUCCGUUGGUUAUCGUUCGUGAGGGUUGAUAGUGGAGAUGCGGCACUGGGUUGAAUGUCGGGUAGCAUCUGCAGUCGUGGAGUGGAUAAUUGAAAGACCGGAUUCUUUUGAGCGGAUUGAUCAGGGAGGAGAUGUGUUUUGCUGAGGGUUGCUUAUGCUUGUGGGAAGCAGUCAGUGUGUAAAUGUUCUCUUUGUGCAGGAUUGUUCUGAAAGGUCGUUAAUGACGAUCGGUGGCAGUUAGUCAGUGCUUUAGUGGGGGAGAAUUGGAGAAUUCUCCGGGAGAUCGAUGAGUAUGUGAGGGUGCUUAGCUGUUGGGAUUCAGCAGUGUUUGUCAGCGCAGAGUAUAGGCCGACGAGAGCGAGUGUCGGGUAUGCGGGGCGGGAUACAGACCUAGGGCAUUUGAUUGUGGAGGCCUGAGAGAAGGUCGGGAUCAAGCUUGAGUAAGUAACCGGGGUUAUGCGAUCAGAGUAUUGGUAUGUUUGAGGUACGUGAUGGGUUGUACUGCAUUAAUCCCACGGGAUUAUGUUGUGCAUGUUUCUAGAGCUGGAACCGGAAGGUUCCCAGAGUUAGAACCUGAGGGUUCGCAGAGUUUGGGUGUACGGACCCACAGAGAUAUAGCCUCGAGUGGCUAGUAUGUGUUAUGAGAGUCGGUCCAGUCAUGCUGGAGACUCUGUUGGUAUUGCUGGAUCAGUUUGAGAUUGCGGAUCGUGUAUGUUGCAGUGUGAUUGCAUUGGAAGGUCUGGCCCCGGGUUAGUGAUCUUGUUUAGCUGAGGCAGUGAUUUUGAUGAGUGGAGAGAGUGCAUGGGAUUGAGAGCCCCUGCAAUGAGAACCAGAGUAUGUGAAUAGCGGUUACGCAAAAAGGGUGGUGUCGCUUGGGGCAAGCACCGUAGCACCGGUUGGAGUGGCAUUAUGGCCAAGAGGGUCCCUUGGAAGGAAAAGAGAAAGGUGUGUAACUCCGAAGGGGAGUGCAAGUUCACGAGAAUGAAAGCUGCAGAGCAGAGUUAUGGUUAGAGUAUUUCGAGUAUGCCUUCGAGCAUCGUGUUCGCGGCAGCGAAGUAGGAACCCAUCCGGUUUGGGAUGUCUGUUGAGGCUCAGAAGGGAUGCAGGGAGAGAGAGAAUCUUAAAUUCUCAGUGUGAUUCUGAUCAGAGUGUAGGGUGGAUGUAGUGGUUCAUCUUGGGAGAUGUUCGAGGAUAUCAUCAGUGUAUCGGGUCUUUCAACCUGCGGGUGUUGGGACUAGUUCAGUAUGUGUAUGUGAUGGCAAGAGGAGAACUUGUGAGAGUUGCUCUGAGAGUGAGAAUGGAUCUCUCAGUCGGUCCGGAAUGGACAAAGUGGGCUUUGGAUCGGGGAUCCGGUGGUUCAUGGUUUCCUAACCCUUAUGGGUCGAGUGAUCGUUGAGAUUUAGAGCAGAGUUGCAUCUUGGGUAAUUUUCGGUUACAGAGAGUGAUGUGCAGUACAGAGAUCGUGCUUCAGUCGACAGAGCAGAUUCGACAGAGCCGACAGGGAAAGUUAUGCAGACAGACGCCGGUCCGAGCUUGAGUUUCAGGUCGGCAACCUCGUACUCCUGAAGGCCUCUCCUUGGAAAGGAGUGAUUCGCUUCAGGAAGAGAGGCAAGUUGGGGCCCCGGUACAUUGGGCCAUUUCGGGUGAUUGCAAGGAUAGGCCGGGUAGCCUAUCGAUUGGAGUUGCCAGCGGAGUUGGGACAGAUCCACGACACCUUUCAUGUGUCGCAAUUGAGGAAGUGCUUAGCCGAUGAGUCGGCAGUGGUUCCAUUAGAGGAUAUUCAGGUGGAUGCGAGCCUGAAUUAUGCUGAGAGACCAGUGGCCAUCAGGGAUCGAAAGAUCAAGGUUCUGAGGAACAAGGAGGUACCUCUGGUAUUGGUUCAGUGGCAACAUCGGAAGGGAUCGGAAAUGACUUGGGAGCCGGAACGUGAGAUGCGGGAGCAGCAUCCGGAACUAUUUUCAGAGUGAGACUUCGAGGGCGAAGUCUAAUCCUAGUGGGGGAGAAUUGUAACAGCCCGGAAUUUCAAGUAUUGUAAUAAUUAUGUUUCUGGGGUGUUUUAAGAGGGGACUCGGCGAGUUGGAGCCUAGACUCGCCGAGUAGGAUCGCAGACUUGGUCGCGGGUUCGCGACUGGACUCGACGAGUCCAGAUAUGGACUCGGCGAGUCUACGCUGUUUAGCGAAAACCCUAACCGUUCAGGUUUGGGACGUAUAAAAAGGACUCAUUGGCCGUCAUUGUUCAUUUUAGCCUUCUGAGAAGAACCCUAAAUCGAUUGUGUGCAUCUGGAGCAAGGAUUAUAGGCCAUUGUUGAUUAUAGAAGAGUGGUUGUGCAAGGAAGAGAAGGGAUUGGCUAAAGGAGCAGCAAGGGAGUCACAUUCUGAGGAUUGGGGACACAGAGAAUACAUCAUCCAGGUAAGAAUUCGAGUAUACUCUGCUAUGUUGAUGUGUUUAUGGAAUUAGGGUUUGUGGAACCCUUUUGUGAUUAGAUUGAAUGCUACCCUAGUCCCCCAAACGAUUGUGACUCUGUAUUGGGACCUUUGGAGGUCCAGAAUGUCCCAUGCCUGUACAUUUCGGGAAUUGAUGAAGGUUUUGGAUUGGAAUCCUUAUGCCUUAGGUCAAUAUGUAUGUUAUGAAUCAUGGGGUGUAUCAUGAGCACCAAAAUGAGGACCUUACGUGAUGGACCAGUCUAGGAAGGCCAGGCCUAUGAAUGGUCGGAGCAGUUCUGCCAUUAGAAAGCAGUUUGAGCGGUUGCAUGGCAUGGACUCGCCGAGUCCGAUGAACAGACUCGGCGAGUAGCUUGAAGAUUAACUGGGACUCGUCGAGUUGUUCUUCAGACUCGGCGAGUUGAGUCGGGGUGGCCCCGCGAUUCUUCCAGGAGGAACUCGUCGAGUAAAAAGGGGAUACUCGACGUGUAGAAAGGGUGUCUUAAGGAAUCGGUGAGUUAAGGGCGAGUGGACUCAGAGUCGUUGAACUCGGCGAGUCUUGGGGUGACUCGGCGAGUUAGAUCGCGGGUUGAGUGAAGUUCUGAGUAUGGGGACUCGGCGAGUCAUAGGGUUGACUCGGCGAGUAGGGUCAGUCAGGGGUUGACUUUGACCUUGUCUUUGACCAAGGAUUGACCAGUGGUUCCAGGGGUAUUUUGGUAAUUGUUGUUUAUUGUUUGAGUUCAGUGCAUUGGUGACUGUCCAGAGGUGGAGAUCGUAUCAGUGAUCGGAGCAGCUUGAGCUAUCUGUUCAGUCGGCAGUUUCGAGGUGAGUUAUCCUCACUAUAUCGCUAGGGUUUAUGGCACCAAGGCCGACCCUCUUUAUCGGAUGGAAAUCCGGGUAGUUGUCAUUGUUAUGAUAUAGGCCGGGAGGCAUUACAUGUCAUGGGCCGGAAGGCAUUGCUAUGUGGACCGGCAGGUCUUGGCCUGGAAAGGCGUAUGUAUGCAUUUAGUAUGUUGACUGAUUCAUAGGGUAAUGUUAUGCUAGUGACCGGCUAGACCGGUAUCUUGUUUAGAGUAAUGCUAUGAUAUGUGAUCUGUUGAUCGAUUGUUGUCUAUGAACUGCUAUAUGAUUAUUUGUUAUGUUAUAUAUGCAUUUUAUGCUUAUGGGCCGGAAGGCAAUAUGUUAUGGGCCGGAAGGCGAUAUGUUAUGGGCCGGAAGGCGUAUAUGUGGUUGGUAUUCUGGGGGUAUCUCACUAUGCUUUCGGGCUUACAGUUGUGGUUUUAUGUUUCAGGUUCUCAAGAGUCUGUGGCAAGGCAAGGGCGUGAUCGUACCGUUCCUCGCGUUGGUGUUUUAUGAUAUGAACCUGGGAAAUUACUCUGUUUAAUAAUGUAUUGAAAACCUUUUUGUAACAACGUUAAUAAAAUGGGUG